GGGUGCCAUCAUACCAGCACUAAUGCACCAGAUCCUAUAAGAACUCUGUAGUUAAGCAUGCUUGGGCGAGAGUAAUACUAGGAUGGGUGACCUCGUGGGAAUUCCUCGUAUUCCACCCC